UAUUUUCUAAACAGUUUGAUCCAUAACUCCCAAAAGCCAAUUGUUACCAUCCCUUUUGGUAAAGAAACGUGGUAUAAUUUCAGAGAGAUCCAUACAACGUUCCACAAGUUAUUGUCUGGAAACUAGAAAAAUGUUUAUUUGGGCCCUUAUUUCCCCCUAAUUCCUAAACUUUUGGGACUAUAACCCCCAAAAUCUAUCCCAACCUUUCUUUUGUGGUUAUAAACCUUGUGUUUCAAUUUCAUAGAUUUCUAUUUACCUACAUGUAUAUUAAAGUUAUUGUCCGGAAACAAAUUCUCUUCGGACGACAACGACGUGAUACCAAUAUACGACUGCGAAAUCGUAUACCGUUAUUUUUGUAUUUUUCGUUAUAUAAUCAAGAAUGUUCUAAAUAAACUGCCGAAAUUUAGCCAAAGCAACUUACUUUAAAUAAAUCAAAUAUAAACGGUCGGUAAUAACAAUGAAUAUUAAACUACAUGUCCUUUCCUAGAUUAAAUAUUUCGGUUAUAAAUGGCAAACUCCACACUAAUAUUUACGACAAAAGGGAUGUUUUUCGUUCCCUAUUGUUAACUUACUUAUCCUACAUUCCGUCGUCGGCGGCGGCGGCUUCCACAAAUAUUCACUCUGUGGUUAAAGUUUUUGAAAUUU
rnacentral:lncRNA from 1 species